rnacentral:tRNA from 1 species
AAGGGCUUAGGAUAAUAAGACCAAAGGCCUUCAAAGCCUUCAGCAGAAGUUAAAACCUUCUAGCCUUUG